rnacentral:rRNA from 1 species
CACGUAGGCACCAAGCGUUGUCCGGAUUUAUUGGGCGUAAAGAGCUCGUAGGCGGUUCAGUAAGUCGGGUGUGAAAACUUUGGGCUUAACCCAAAGCGUGCAUCCGAUACUGCUGUGACUUGAGUUCGGUAGGGGAGUGGGGAAUUCCUAGUGUAGCGGUGAAAUGCGCAGAUAUUAGGAGGAACACCGGUGGCGAAGGCGCCACUCUGGGCCGAAACUGACGCUGAGGAGCGAAAGCAUGGGUAGCAACAGG